UGCCUCGGGCGUAGACCUGA
rnacentral:misc_RNA from 1 species